rnacentral:rRNA from 1 species
AUACGUAGGGGGCGAGCGUUAUCCGGAUUUACUGGGUGUAAAGGGUGCGUAGGCGGCGUUUUAAGUCAGAAGUGAAAUUUCAGGGCUCAACCUUGAAGCUGCUUCUGAAACUGAGAUGCUAGAGUGCAGGAGAGGAAAGUGGAAUUCCACGUGUAGCGGUGAAAUGCGUAGAGAUGUGGAAGAACACCAGUAGCGAAGGCGGCUUUCUGGACUGUAACUGACGCUGAGGCACGAAAGCAUGGGGAGCAAACAGGAUUAGAUACCCUGGUAGUCCAUGCCGUAAACGAUGAAUGCUAGGUGUCGGGCCUUACGGGGUUCGGUGCCGAAGUUAACACAUUAAGCAUUCCACCUGGGAAGUACGACCGCAAGGUUGAA